CGGAACCCCUGACGUGUUGCC
rnacentral:siRNA from 1 species